rnacentral:rRNA from 1 species
ACGGCGUCGAGCGGCGGACGGGUGAGUAAUGCCUAGGAAAUUGCCCUGAUGUGGGGGAUAACCAUUGGAAACGAUGGCUAAUACCGCAUGAUGCCUACGGGCCAAAGAGGGGGACCUUCGGGCCUCUCGCGUCAGGAUAUGCCUAGGUGGGAUUAGCUAGUUGGUGAGGUAAGGGCUCACCAAGGCGACGAUCCCUAGCUGGUCUGAGAGGAUGAUCAGCCACACUGGAACUGAGACACGGUCCAGACUCCUACGGGAGGCAGCAGUGGGGAAUAUUGCACAAUGGGCGCAAGCCUGAUGCAGCCAUGCCGCGUGUGUGAAGAAGGCCUUCGGGUUGUAAAGCACUUUCAGUCGUGAGGAAGGUAGUGUAGUUAAUAGCUGCAUUAUUUGACGUUAGCGACAGAAGAAGCACCGGCUAACUCCGUGCCAGCAGCCGCGGUAAUACGGAGGGUGCGAGCGUUAAUCGGAAUUACUGGGCGUAAAGCGCAUGCAGGUGGUUUGUUAAGUCAGAUGUGAAAGCCCGGGGCUCAACCUCGGAAUAGCAUUUGAAACUGGCAGACUAGAGUACUGUAGAGGGGGGUAGAAUUUCAGGUGUAGCGGUGAAAUGCGUAGAGAUCUGAAGGAAUACCGGUGGCGAAGGCGGCCCCCUGGACAGAUACUGACACUCAGAUGCGAAAGCGU